rnacentral:rRNA from 1 species
UACAGAGGGUGCGAGCGUUAAUCGGAAUUACUGGGCGUAAAGCGUGCGUAGACGGUUAUUUAAGUCGGGCGUGAAAGCCCCGGGCUCAACCUGGGAAUUGCAUUCGAGACUGAAUAGCUAGGGUACGGUAGAGGGAAGCGGAAUUUCCGGUGUAGCGGUGAAAUGCGUAGAUAUCGGAAGGAACAUCAGUGGCGAAAGCGGCUUCCUGGACCAGUACCGACGUUCAGGCACGAAAGCGUGGGGAGCAAACAGG